UACAGAGGUCCCAAGCGUUGUUCGGAUUCACUGGGCGUAAAGGGUGCGUAGGUGGCCUGGCAAGUUUGAUGUGAAAGCUCGGAGCUUAACUCCGAAAUGGCAUUGAAUACUACUAGGCUUGAGGGUCGGAGGGGAGACUGGAAUUCUCGGUGUAGCAGUGAAAUGCGUAGAUAUCGAGAGGAACACCAGUGGCGAAGGCGAGUCUCUGGGCGACCCCUGACACUGAGGCACGAAAGCUAGGGGAGCAAACAGG
rnacentral:rRNA from 1 species